GAGACGACCCGCUUAAUUUAAGCAUAUUACUAAGCGGAGGAAAAGAAACUAACCAGGAUUCCCCCAGUAGCGGCGAGCGAAGAGGGAAGAGCCCAGCGCCGAAUCCCCCGUCCCCCACGCGGGCGCGGGGAAAUGUGGCGUACGGAAGCCCGCAUCGCCCGGCGCGGGCCGGGGGCCUGAGUCCUUCUUAUGGAGGCUCAGCCCGUGGACGGUGUGAGGCCGGUAACGGCCCCCGCCCCGCCGGGGCGCGGACUUCCCGGAGUCGGGUUGUUUGGGAAUGCAGCCCAAAGAGGGUGGUAAACUCCAUCUAAGGCUAAACACCGGCACGAGACCGAUAGCGAACAAGUACCGUAAGGGAAAGUUGAAAAGAACUUUGAAGAGAGAGUUCAACAGGGCGUGAAACCGUUAAGAGGUAAACGGUUGGGGUCCGCACGGUCCGCCCGGGGGAUUCAACCCGACGGCAGGCAGGUCGCCCCAGCCGGCGCCGCGCGUGCCCCCUCCCCGCCCGGCGCCCGUCCCUCGCGGGCGGCGCCSGGGCCGGGCGGGGGGGCCGCCGGCCGGCCUCCGCGGCCGCCGUCGGGCGCAUUUCCUCCGCGGCGGUGCGCCGCGACCGGCUCCGGUUCGGCCAGGAAGGGCCCGGGGGCGAAGGUGGCUCGCGGCCUCAAGCGCCGCGAGCUUUACAGCGCCCUCCCCCGCCCCGACUUCGCCGCUUACCUCCGGGGCCGUGGACGAGUCACCUCCGCGCCUUCCCGCCCCACGGGGCGGGACGGGGCCCCUCCGCCCCCGGCGCGGCUAGCGACCGGGCCGGACUGUUCCCAGUCCGUUGCCCCGACCGCGCCGCGCCGCCCAGGGCGGGGACCGGCCCUCGAGGCGGCCCCCGAAAMGGGGCCGCCACGGCAGGCGCUCGGGGUCCGCGGCGACGCCGGCCACCCAACCGACCCGUCUUGAAACACGGACCA
rnacentral:rRNA from 1 species